GGGAGCGGUUCCCCGCCUGCCGCUCUCAUUGGCGCUCGAGUGCGCGCUUUCGCUGCCGACUGUUAAAAUCUUGUUUUGCGUUUUGUCAAUCCUCGACGGUGGGAGGCCAGCGAGGGUGCGGUUUCCGGAGUGAGGCCCUCCCCGCCGCCCCGCCUCCCUUUCUUGCGUCCGCGCUCGGGCGGGGUUGCUCGGGGAUCGGUGUCGGAAAGUGGCUGAGCCGCCUGCUCGCUGCUGCGCGCCUGGCCUUUCUGUUCGGAAUCGCCGCUCCACGGGCCUGGGGCCAGCCAGUUAAAAAAAAAAUCCACAGCUGGUGAAGAUUCCCACAGAAGAUGAAAAAUGGAUUUCCAGACCUGAGCCAGUUUGCAGACCUGAAACCCACUGACUGAAGAGGUCCCCAGGAGGAAGGACCCUGCUACACCUCAGCAAGUAUAAAUGGUAAUGAUUUCUCCAGUCCU